GACGAACGCUGGCGGCGUGCUUAACACAUGCAAGUCGAACGGAAAGGCCCUGCUUUUGUGGGGUGCUCGAGUGGCGAACGGGUGAGUAACACGUGAGUAACUUGCCCUUGACUUUGGGAUAACUUCAGGAAACUGGGGCUAAUACCGGAUAGGGGCUCCUGCUGCAUGGUGGGGGUUGGAAAGUUUCGGCGGUUGGGGAUGGACUCGCGGCUUAUCAGCUUGUUGGUGGGGUAGUGGCUUACCAAGGCUUUGACGGGUAGCCGGCCUGAGAGGGUGACCGGGCAACGUGGGGAGGGGAAUCGGCCCAGACCCCUGCGGGAGGGAGGAGGGGGGAAUAAUGGAAAAAGGGGGGAAGGCCGGAGGCGGCACCCCGGGGGGGGGAGGGCGGCCUUGGGGUUGUAAAACCGUUUCGGCUGGGAAGGAGGGGGGAGUGAGGUAAGGGGGAAAGGAAAACCCGCUAACCUAGGGC
rnacentral:rRNA from 1 species